GCAGUAGGGAAUCUUCCGCAAUGGACGAAAGUCUGACGGAGCAACGCCGCGUGAGUGAUGAAGGGUUUCGGCUCGUAAAGCUCUGUUGUUAGGGAAGAACAAGUAUCGUUCGAAUAGGGCGGUACCUUGACGGUACCUAACCAGAAAGCCACGGCUAACUACGUGCCAGCAGCCGCGGUAAUACGUAGGUGGCAAGCGUUGUCCGGAAUUAUUGGGCGUAAAGCGCGCGCAGGCGGUCUUUUAAGUCUGAUGUGAAAGCCCCCGGCUCAACCGGGGAGGGUCAUUGGAAACUGGGAGACUUGAGUACAGAAGAGGAGAGUGGAAUUCCACGUGUAGCGGUGAAAUGCGUAGAUAUGUGGAGGAACACCAGUGGCGAAGGCGACUCUCUGGUCUGUAACUGACGCUGAGGCGCGAAAGCGUGGGGAGCAAACAGGAUUAGAUACCCUGGUAGUCCACGCCGUAAACGAUGAGUGCUAGGUGUUAGGGGUUUCGAUGCCCUUAGUGCCGAAGUUAACACAUUAAGCACUCCGCCUGGGGAGUACGACCGCAAGGUUGAAACUCAAAGGAAUUGACGG
rnacentral:rRNA from 1 species